rfam:Elusimicrobia bacterium RIFCSPLOWO2_12_FTLL_39_28 rifcsplowo2_12_scaffold_129, whole genome shotgun sequence.
GGACGGGUGGCCGAGCGGUUAAUGGCACAGGUCUGUAAAACCUGCGGGCUGACGCCCUACAGAGGUUCGAAUCCUCUCCCGUCCA